rnacentral:rRNA from 1 species
AGUGAACGCUGGCGGUAGGCCUAACACAUGCAAGUCGAACGGCAGCACAGUAAGAGCUUGCUCUUACGGGUGGCGAGUGGCGUACGGGUGAGGAAUACAUCGGAAUCUACUUUUUCGUGGGGGAUAACGUAGGGAAACUUACGCUAAUACCGCAUACCACCUACGGGUGAAAGCAGUGGAUCUUCGGACCUUGCGCGAUUGAAUGAGCCGAUGUCGGAUUAGCUAGUUGGCGGGGUAAAGGCCCACCAAGGCGACGAUCCGUAGCUGGUCUGAGAGGAUGAUCAGCCACAAUGGAACUGAGACCCGGCCCAGACUCCUACGGGAGGCAGCAGUGGGGAAUGUUGGACAAUGGGCGCAAGCCUGAUGCAGCCAUACCGCGUGGGUGAAAAAGGCCUUCGGGUUGUAAAGCCCUUUUGUUGGGAAAGAAAAGCAGCAGGUUAAUACCCCGCGGUUCUGACGGUACCCAAAGAAUAAGCACCGGCUAACUACGUG